GGAAGGGAAAGAAGACAGGACACUUUAAAGCUGCCAAACUGCUUUGCAAAAAAGGAUACAGAAUACGUUGGAAAGAGAGCACACAAGAGAAUGAUCCUUUUUCAGAUCAAGAGACAGUUUCCUUGGACAUGCAGAAAUAGAAAAGAUAUGCUUGUUUGUGAAAUGUGGUUCCAUGACUAUAGCUACUGACUGAGUCCUAACUUUAUGUGUGAGUGGAUCUGUACUACUCAUAUCUAUCCAGACUUUACAAAAUGGAAGAAAUCAGUAAAAAGAUCACCGAAAAAAAAAUC
rnacentral:lncRNA from 1 species